GAAUAUUAGUCAAUGCUCGAAAGAGUGAACUAGCUAACUGAAAUCAAUUAAAAAAAUUGAUAACAUAAGGGAAAAUAAUGAUAUUACCUUAUUAUUAGUGUCGUCCAAAACUGGUGCCAGAAGACUCGGUAAGGCCAGAGACACAAACGUUAAUCGUCUUAAUCAGGCGUAAAGGGUUUGUAGGCGGCUUUUAAUUUACUUAUAUAUAUUAUAAAAUAAGUUAAAAUAAAAGCUAGAAUCAAAUAGAGGAUAUAUCAAAUAAUGCUUAGAGUAGGUCUGAUAUCCUUAGAUACUGAGUAGAAUAUUAAAGGCGAAAGCUUUUUUCCAUAAAUGAUUGACGCUCAGAAACGAAAGUGAGGAUAGGAAAUAGGAUUAGAUACCCAAAAUACCCCUCUCUGUCAACGAUGAAUGGUAAUUAUUAAUAAUAAAUUUAUUAUUAAUGGUAAUGUUAACACGAUAACCAUUCCGCCUUGUGAGUACAACUGCAAAGUUGAAAACAAAAAAAUUAGUCGGUUUCGGAGCAAACGAAGUGAAGCAUGUUAUUUAAUUC
rnacentral:rRNA from 1 species